ensembl:lncRNA
UAAUUUGGGGAUGGUUCGAUGUUGAGGGUUUUAUUUUGAAAGUCUAAAUGAAAAGUUCCCUUAUUAUAGUAAACUCGACAGCUGCCGGCGUGGACACCUUGUUAUCUGUGGACAGGCUUCGCGGUGGUCGGCUUCAAUCAUCGUUUUACGGGGACACUUUUUUCAAUCGCUCACUUUCCUUAAAAAAACAAAAAACGUUUUUAUUGUUUCACGUGUGUCGAACUGCUGCUGCCGAAAUUACCGAAAAAAAAUAGCAGCAAGGGUCCAGGAAUGAACUUUUCCUUAUCCCGAUUAACAUUUUCGCUUUCUUUGAUUGGAGAAUCCCGGACGGUGUGGAGCUACACUUUUCCAUUUUUAGUGGGUUCACUGCGAGUGGAACAGUGGGCGAAAGUGUUAGCUGAAGACUUUGAACAUCAGAAAGUGUGGUGGUGAUUCUCACGAGGAGACCUGAAACCUCGAAUACUGACGGGAGAAAUAUUCAAGAGAGAAUCCUAACAACAGACAUCCUCUAUGAGUGAAGAACUCUUUUGACACGAGGAGACCUCAAGCAGAACCAGGCCUUGGGAGGGGCAGCCAAUUGCCUUGACCAAUUUGGGUGUGAAGAGAAGGAAAAAGGAGAAAAGAGGAAGAUAUAGAGGCAAAAAACAACAAAGAGAACUGAGCAUGUUGACAUCACUGACUUGUCAAACUCUUAAACUGAAGCCCAGGCAAUAAAGCAUCAGUGAAACUGCCACAUAAUGCAAAAAAGUAAGGUUGCAUUUUGUGUGUCCAUCAAAUAAACUUCCUGUUUGUGUGUGUUUGUUUGCUUAUUAGUAUGUCUGUGCAUUACUGUGUGGGUUGUGUAAGGCUUAUAUCUUUCUCAAGUAUCGAGUGUGGGUGUUAUAAAUAGCAAGCUGACCUCUCAGGAUAUGCAGUGUGAUAUUUCCCUGUCUUUCUCUUUUCUUUUUUUUUUGUCUGUCUGCCUGCUUUGUCUGUGGUUCAACAGGUUCCUGUCUGCUUUUUUGAUUUUUUUCCAGACAUUCUCACUGUCACGCAUACCAUGCAGUAAACCCACGCGGCGUAGUUGCAGAUGUAGUAUUUGUUAGGUUUUAACUUCC